rnacentral:lncRNA from 1 species
CUUUUCCUGGAAAAGUCAUAAAUAAUCCACCAGAUGGAAACUCCUAGACCGGUGUCUGUCCCCUCAUUGAUUCUCCUUUCUGCUUUCUUAGCCCUAAUGGGAUCUGAUACUUUCCCUUUUGGGGUACAAGGGGUCUUUUCUAGUUAUUUUUCUGGAUACACCAAGAAGAAAAACAUUUGGACGUGGAAUCAGUAAAUGAGGGAGGUUUGGUUCAUGUUUUGUUCUUUUCCUUUUUUUUUUACUUCUUCCUUUCACACAUUUUCCCCUAAACCCAUCUCCAAAACACUGCUCUAGCCGCUUGGUAACUAUGUUAAUUUAUGAAGCAGAAAAAAAUGAGAUGGCUGUGAAUUAACAAAAGUGGGACCAUUUCUCUCCAUGAGCAGAACAAUCAGUCUUUCUCAGGCAGUCAGCAAGUGUGGUUUUAAGAGACAAGGAAGAAGAUGGGGAAAGAG